rnacentral:lncRNA from 1 species
GGGGCGGCUGCUUAGGUAAUUAGAGUUAGGGUUUGGUAAAGAAGAAAGAAGAGGGACGGCUUGGCUUGGUGGGGAGAGAGAGAGAGAGAGAGAGAAAGGUAGAUGUAUCUGUAGAGAAAUGGGGCGGCUGUGCUUUAGAAAAUUAGAGCUAGGGUUUUUUUGGCUAGGAAUUGCAUUCCUUUAAAACAUGGCCGAAUUUGUUUAUAAUGAAAAACAAAGGCCCAGUUCAUUUUCAAUGAAAAACAAAGGCCCAACAAAUGAUUAAAAUAAAUGGGAUGACUAAAUGUUACAAAAUUAACAUAAAAAGUUCUAAAAUUUUACUCAUAUACUUAAAUCCGCCUUGACCACCUAGGCGUCCGCCUAGGCGCUAGGCGCUAGCGCCUAGCGUUUUUUAGAACCUUGAAUAAUAGGCAAGUGCAAGCUGCGCAAUAACAGUUUGAUACCAAAAAAAAAAUUCUUCAAAUGUCUUUUUAAGUGUUUUUACACUAUGAAAUGAAGUUCCGAGAUGUUUGUAAAGAGUUUUUUAUCCAAAAAUUUUACAAAGCUCAGAUAUAGCAAUGGAGAGUUGGAUGUGAACCCAAGAAUUUAACUGUCAAUAAUCCAAUGCCGAAGAUUCCAAGUAGAAAUAAAAACUCCUUUUCCCCGUCUGUUUGGUUUCUUCAUUUUUAACUCUCUUAUAUAAAUGAAACCUACUGAUUAUUGGUCUAUUAUUUGUCUCGACUUUGUCACAUAAUUAUUUGUCAUCAUUCUUUUGGUUUAUAAUCAGAGGACUAUAUGGUCCUUAUCUGUCAUCACCUUGCUUGGAAUGUAAACCUGCAGACAAGAAUUAGAGCCGGCUAAGACAACUUCAACCCGGACUGGAAUAUUAGAGCGUACAAAUUAGUCCCGAGAAGGGAGAUGUUGGCAUGAUUGCCAUGGUACCUGGGAUUCUUAUCCAACUGGUCUCCUUCGUGGGAUUGUUUGUAUUUUUAGCUGCGGUAGCAGCAGCGCAAGCUUUGCCUGGCUGCCCAAACAAAUGCGGGAAUUUGUCAAUCCCAUACCCUUUUGGGAUAUCCGAUGGCUGCCAGCUCAGUGAUGAAUUCCUCAUCGUUUGCAACGAAACCUCACAACCCCCCACAGCAUUUUUGACAGGAACUGCAAUCCCGGUCUCCAACAUAUCCCUUGACGGCGAGCUACAAAUAAUGCAGUUUGUAGCAAGAGAUUGUUACGUCGAGGGGGUUUAUCAGAUACCAAAAAAAGCAACACCCCAAGGCUAAAGCUCUUCCCUCCUUACACGAUUUCCGGCACGAAAAACAAGUUCAUUGCUGUUGGUUGUGACACUUACGCGAUCUUUGAAGGAGUGCGUGGGAGCGAAAAGUACGUAACCGGUUGCAUGACCUUCUGCGAGAGCUUAGGGAGCAUUCGUGAGUCUUGCUCCGGCAUUGGGUGCUGCCAGACUUCAAUCCCAAGUGGGCUUCAAGUUCGUACCGUGAUGAUGAGUAGCUACUCCAAUCAUACGCUUAUAUGGGACUUUAAUCCAUGUAGCUAUUCCUUCAUUGUGGAAGAAGGCCAGUUCACAUUUUCUAAUAGAAGUUUCCAAGAGCUCGAAAACACAAGCCGGCUUCCGAUGGUUCUCAAUUGGGCAAUUGGGGAUGAAGAAUGUGAUGCAGCUCAAAAGAGGGAGGACUAUGCAUGCAAGGGAAAUAGCACUUGUGUCAGCCCCGUCAAUCUGUCCGGCUACUUUUGUCAGUGCUUGCCAGGUUACGAAGGAAAUCCGUACCCCCCAGAGGGUUGUCAUGGUACUGAUCAUCUUUUAGAUACACCUAAUUUAUAACUAUGUGCCUUAAUUAUGUGUUAGUGAGUAAUCUGUACUCUUUUCAGAUAUCGACGAGUGUGAGAUUUCAAACCGUUGCAGCGCAGGAGCGUGUAUAAAUUUACCUGGAAAUUAUUCUUGUGUCUGUCCAAAAGGGUUCAAAGGCGACGGAAUGAAAACUGGAACUGGAACUGGUUGCAGCAAAGACAAUGGAAGCAAUCUUUCCAAAAGCAUUCGCUUGCUUAUUAUUUCAUUGGGUAAGUAUUUGCAUUGGUAGACUAUGUAACGGGCGUCGAUCAAACUGUGUCACUAUGUCAGCAAUAAAAUGUCGAUUCCAUUACCGUAGGCAACACAAUAUGGAUGUGUAUUGAUUCUUUAAUCUAUAAACGGAUGUCCUGCACAAAAAAAUUCGGAUUAAAUGCAUGCUAUUGCUAUAUUAUCAUGUAGAUCGUAAUAAAUUGAAGUCUAAUUUGGUGGUGAAUUGCAGCUGUGACAGUAGCCUCCUUGAUUUUCCUGGUGGGAGGUUCAUGGACCUACUGGGGAAUGAAGAAAAACAACUACAUCAAACUCAGAGAAAAGUAUUUCAAAGAGAAUGGUGGCAUGUUGUUACAACAACGACCCGCGAGUCGCCAAGGAGGAUUGGUGGAGACAACAAAAAUCUUUACAGCAGAAGAACUUGACAAGGCUACAGGCUACUACGAUGACAGUAGAGUCCUCGGCGAAGGAGGCUACGGUACAGUUUACAAAGGAAUACUACCAGAUAAUGAAGUGGUUGCCAUAAAAAAGUCGAAAAUCGGAGCUUCAAUCCAAAGUGAGCAGUUUAUAAACGAAGUUAUUGUUCUUUCUCAAGUCAACCACAGAAAUGUGGUGAAGCUACUGGGUUGCUGUUUGGAGACACAAGUGCCUUUACUAGUUUACGAGUUCAUCACCAGGGGAACUCUUUUUUAUCAUCUUCAUAACGUAAAGAGCAAAGAAUCGUCGCUUUCGUGGGAGUUACGACUGAAGAUCGCAGCUGAAACUGCCGGAGCACUAGCGUACUUGCACUCCUCCACUUCCAUGCCAAUCAUACACCGAGAUGUGAAAACAACAAAUAUAUUAUUAGACGAAAAUUACACAGCAAAAGUGUCGGACUUCGGAGCUUCGCGAUUGAUUCCUCUAGAUCAAGCUCAAAUCACAACUCUAGUGCAAGGGACGCUAGGGUACUUGGACCCUGAAUACUUCCAUUCAAACCAGCUGACAGAAAAGAGUGACGUCUACAGUUUCGGAGUUGUUCUUGUGGAGCUGCUAACAAGAAAAGUGGCACUGUCAUUUACUAGGCCUGAAGAAGAGAGAAACCCGGCAAACUUCUUCGUUUGUUCCGUGGAACAGGGUCGCUUGACUCAAAUUCUCGAUGACGACAUAGUCACCGACAGAAAUCUUGAGACACUGAAAAGAGUGGCUAAUCUUGCAAGUAGAUGCUUGAGGGUGAAAAGGGAGGAAAGGCCUAGCAUGAAAAAGGUAGCAAUGGAGCUAGAAGGAUACAGACUCUGGCGAAGCAUCCACGGAGAACUGCUGAUUUCAGUCCAGAGGACACUGAUUACUUGCUCGGGCCGCCUUCAAUGGCUUAUGCUAGAGGUGAUAGUUGUUCCAGUACUAGCAUAACCAUUGGUGCAACUAGUGUGUACGAAGGCAUGCAAAUCGAAAUGUUAAUGCGACAGGGUGAUGGCCGAUAAUCCAUCGUUUCUCAAUAGUGUACAUCUUCGAAUAUAAUUAACAGAAAGCUACUCAGGCACACAAGAAAUGAAAUACAUUUCAAGCACAACAUAUUCAAAAUCCCCGGCAGAUUGACAUUUCUCCGGUGGAAUUCACAAACGAGUUCUAACACGAAAAUGGUGUCUAUAAUAUAUGGAAUUUCAAAGCUACAAGUCUCAGGAAAAGCAAGUAAUUUGGACAACUCAAUCUAAUUUGUUUAUUCUCAGAAGUCACAAGAAUCACCGAGACCAAAAUGCUCAACCUGUUCAUUACAGCGAAAAUCAUGAUCACGAACCUUGCAAUAAAAUUUGAAAUAGAAAUACAAGAGAAGCACAACCUAAUCAAAUUGCGUUCUUUAAAAGAUAAACAUUGCUCAAGGAGACGAGGGAGUUAAACAUAACCGUUGUCAUAUGUGAAGGUUGAAACAGGAGAUCAUCUUAUCCAACCACUGCAAGAUCACAAACAGAACAGAUCUUCCCUUCAUGGUCCGGAACAAACCGAAAGCUGCAGUACGGGCAUGACACAUCCUUCUGUCCACAGUAAAUAGGCACGUAUGUUCCCCCUCAAACCACAAAUGGGUUUCUGAAGGCAUAGUUUAGCUGGGUUGCAUCAGUCAUGUUCUAUUCUGCAGCUUGCAGGAUUUGUCUUGCUGUCUUUGCAUGGUUUUCAACGCUGGGGUUGGUCUCCAAAAGUCACCUGGCAAAGUUAGCUGCCGUGUUGAGAUUACCAGCCUUAUAGCAAACACUCAUGGCAUUUAGUAAUGCUAGCCUCAAGUGAGGGAUCUGAAGGUUACGGUGGGUGAAGUAAGCUGCUAGCUCCUGUUGGCGAACCGGAUCGCCUUUAAGUUCCCUCCUCUUAAUCUCCAUCUUCAAACCCAGAACAUACUCCUUUACAAUGAUUAUUAAUUCUUUUACUUCAUCAACCUCUCUCCUUGAAUCAACUACAAUCAGAGGAAUAGUAUGCAGAAUACCAAGGAAAAGACGUAAAUUAAAAUCUUCACAACCACAAGAGAUUAAUGAAACUUCAAGCCAUUACCAAAAGUCCCUUUUCAGCUGAAGAGGGUGCCUAUUCUUUUAUAUAUAUACUAUAUAUAUUGUUCUUUAUCUAAUCUCAUUGUGAUAUUAGUAUGUGUUGGGGCAUAAAAAGACUUCACUACUUUGGAGAUGUUUAUCUCACAAAGAAGAAUGUAAUGCAGUGGAAUUGAUAGGCAAGAGAAAGAAAGAAUACUCAAAGUAUUACACAAGAUUUUUAUUCACUCACAAACUUAGUAUAAGAGGAAACACUCAAACACUCUUAGAAGUUUUGUUGCUUCUUCUCACUUCUCACUUGUCACUCUCACUUCUCACUACUUGCUCUCUUGGUUGUUACAAAUGGUGUGGAUGCCUUCUCCUUUUAUAGGCAUGGAUGGAACCUUGGAGAAGCAUGGAAGCAUCAUGCUAGAGAUAUCUAGAUAAUUCCACUACCUUCCUAAGCUAGAAUUGUCUACACUAAUCUUGUAUGUUGGUGGAAUCCUCACCAUUCUUCUAGACUCUUCCACCAACUUUUGCUAGAAUUCUCUAGCAUGUGCGUAGAUCUUUGUUUGUGCAUGGGCUGGAUCCAUUAUCUUUGGGUCAAGACAAGAUUACAAUUCAACAUCCCCCCUUAAUCUUGUCUUGUGACGCCGAUUGUGUUCCUCAAUCUAACAAAGUCUUCUUGCCUGAGUGGUUUGGUGAAUAUGUCGGCGACUUGGUCUUGUGACUUCACGUAUUCCACUUGCACAUCCUUUCUUGCAAUACAUUCUCUUAUGUAAUGAUAGCGAGUAUCCAUGUGUUUGCUCCUGUCAUGAAAUACUAGAUUAUUUGCUAGAGCUAUUGCAGACUUGUUGUCGACAUAAAUCUCUUUUGGCUCUUCUUGUGGCAUGCUUAAUUCUUUCAGCAAGUUUUUCAGCCAGAUUGCGUGAUAGACACAUGAGGUAGCAACUACGUAUUCAGCUUCGCAGGUAGAGAGUGUGAUAAUCAGUUGUUUCUUUGACAUCCAUGUGAAUGCAAUGUUUCCCAUGAAGAACACAAAUCCAGUAGUGCUUUUUCUAUCAUCUGAAUCUCCUGCCCAAUCACUGUCGCUAUAUUCAGCAAGUUUGUAGUUAUCAAAACUUGAAUAGAACAAGCUAAAGUUAACAGUACCGUAAAGAUAUCGAAGAAUUUUUUUUGCGGUCUUCAAAUGUGUAGUUGUGGGAUUCUCCAUGUAGCGACUGACUAAUUCGACGGCAUAGAGAAUAUCUGGUCUUGUGCAAGUCAAGUAGUGCAAGCUUCCAACUAGACUUUUGAAAAAUGUUGGAUUUACGCUUUCUCCUUUGUCAUGCUUGGUUAGUUUGACUUCGCACUGGUGUGCUUAUGGGCUUACAGUCGUCCAUUUUGAACUUUUAGUACCUCAUUUGUGUAGCUUUCUUGGGAGAUGAAAAUUCCUUCUUCGUUUUGCUUGACUUCAAUGCCUAGGUAGUAUGCCAUCAGCCUGAUGUUGGUAAUCUCGAAUUCUUUAGUCAUCACUUUCGUGAACUCUUCAUACAUGCUUGGAUUACUUCCGGUGAAGAUUAGAUCAUCCACAUAUAAGCACACAAUUAGAAUAUCUCCAUCUUUGACUUUGACGUAGAGAGCAUGUUCAUGAGGGCACUUGGUGAAGUUGUUUUCUUGGAAGUACUUGUUAAUGAGACUAUUCCAUGCUCAUGGCACUUGUUUUAACCUAUAGAGGGCUUUCUUCAGCUUCAGAACUUUGUCUUCAUGCCCUUUGAUUUCAUAGCUUGGCGGUUGCUGAAUGUAGACUUCUUCUUCAAGGACUUCAUUUAGGAAAGUGGACUUCACACCCAUUUGUUGAAUCUUCAUUUAUUUUGAGUUGCCAAAUAAAUUAGUAAUCGUAUAGUUUCCAACCGAGCAAUGGGUGCAAAUACCUCAUCGUAGUUGAUUCCAGCUCUUUGACUAUAGCCUUUUGCCACUAGUCUCUCCUUGUAUCUUUCGACAUCUUCGUUGGCAUUUUUCUUUGUCUUGUACACCCAUUUGACUCCGAUGGCUUUGUGUUCUUUCGGAAGAAUAGCGAAUUCCCAUGUAUCAUUUUUCUGGAUUGAUUCAAUUUCUUCAUCCAUUGCUUUCCUCCACUUAGUAUCUUGCACUGCUUCUUCAAAGUCGACUGGUUCACAAUUAGCAAAGAGACAGAAAAAGGUAUGAUUAUCGAGUCUUUCAGCUACCUCAUAGAGAUCUCAUAAACUUCUUGUGCGUGGUACUUCUCUUUCAUUUAGACUCCCACUUGAUGAUGCUGAUGCUGGUGAAUUACCAUGAUUGGUUGAUAUUGGUGAAGCAAGUGGAGUAGUGGAUUCUUGUUGAACCUCUCUUGUUUGCUCCAUCAUCCCUUGUUCAUUCUCUUCUUCAAACUGAGGAAAAAAAUGAAGAUCACCUGCAUGAGAGCCAAAAUCCCAUUCUUUUUCUUCAUCAAACGUCACAUCUCGACUGAUCACCGUCUUCCCAUUGUUUGGAUUAUACAACUUAUAGCCUUUUGAAAUUGAGUCAUAGUCGAUGAAGAUGAACUUCUCACUUUUGUCGUCGAGUUUGGUUCUCCUUUCGUCUGGUACAUGUACAUGGGCUAUGCUUCCAAAAACUCUUAGAUGGGAGAUACCCGGCUUUCUUCCACUCCAUGCUUCUUAUGGAGUCUUUCCCACACACUUCUUGUUGGAGACCGAUUUGAUAGGUAGACAGCAUAUGCUACCGCUCUGCCCACAACUCCUAAGGUAACCUCUUACUUUUAAGCAUACUUCGAGCCAUGUCAAGGAUAGUUCGAUUUUUUCUUUCCGCUACACCAUUUUGUUGAGGGGAUCUUGGAACUGUCAAAGGUCGACGAAUUCCAUUGGCUUCACAAAAUUCUUGAAAUUCCUUCGAAGUGAAUUCUCCUCCUCGAUCAAAUCUUAUGGCUUUGAUCUUGCAACCACUUUCUUUUUCUACAACGGCUUUGAACUUCUUGAAUGCUCCAAAGGCCUCUGAUUUCUGCUUCAAGAAAUAUACCCAGGUUUUCCUUGAAAAAUCAUCAAUGAAGAGAAGGAAAUCAUUAUUUUUACCCAAAGAGCUUGGUUUUAUUAGACCGCACACAUCAUUGUGAAUAAGCUCGAGUGGCUUCUGGGCACUUGUGGUCGACUUCUUUGGAAAGCUUUUCCUGAACUGUUUCCCAAGUAAACAUCAUUCGUAAACUUGAUCAAGGUGGUUGAUGCAUGAUCGAAUCAUAUUUAUAUAUAUUUUUACUUCGAAUUCACUCGUCUUUUCUUAGUUAGUUCCUUAUAUUUUUGAGCUAUUUACUUUGUUUUUGCGUAUUAUAGGAUUUGUCUAGCAAAGAAAAUAAAAAUAGAACAAGUGAAAUUUUAUGUAAUAAAUUCGUCAAAACUGUCUGUGUAGAUCAGCUUUUAAAUAAAAUUAAAAAAAAAUAAUAAUGAUAAGUCAUGAUGAUGUUUGAAACAUCAUCAUGAUUCAUGUUUUGUAGGAGAGUGUUGGACGGCAAAAACAAAAGAAAAUGAAUAAAGAAUGGAAUGAUGGAGGAAUAAAAGAAACAUAAAGAAAGGAAUGGUGGAAAGAAAAACAGAAAUUGAAUAAGGAAAGGGGAGAAGUGAAAGGCAGCGAGGCUGCCAAAAAGAAAACAGAAAAAUAAAGAGAGAGGGAGAUAGCAUAUAAGCGGGGAGAGCGGAGAGACCAAGGGAAACGAAAUAAUAAAAAAAUAAAAGAAGAAAAGAAUAAGAGGGGGGCCUCGGGAAAAGCUGAGGGAGGAGAAAACCAGCUGCCCUUGGCAGCAACUUUCAGAAGGAAAUAAGCCUCGAGUAGCUAGGGGAGCCUCGGAACCAGUAGAAUAAAAACUUGGCAGCUUACGGGGAGUCCACACGCAGAGAUUGGCGGGGAAAGAGGAGAGCUAAGCUGUCCUUGCAGCUUUGAACCAACACGUGCAGGGAUAGACAGAAAUCAGAGGGCUGCCUUGCGGAAACUGACAGAAAAGGAUAGAGCAAGGCAGCAAGAAAAAUUAGAGGCUUCACUCCAUUUCUCUCGGUUAAAUCUUUCCAAACUUAUAUUUUAUUUCUGUUUUAAUAAUGUGUAACUAAUUUUAUUUUGGCUAGAGGUUAAUUCAAAGCCAUGAAUAUAUUUGUAAUAUGAAUUGAUUACCUUCAGUUGUGAUUUAUAAGUUGUGAUUUAAUUUGCUUAACUGCUUGAUUGAUAACUUAUUUUUGUAUGUCGAUUAAGAAUGCAUGCUUAAUUUACAUGCAUGAAUUUGAUGCUAGAAUAUAAGUGAAUUUCACCUAAUCGUUAUGAACUUAUAUUCAUAAGUAGUGAAGGUUGCUAGUCACAAUCACGUUAAGUAAAUUCUAGGCUGGAUUAACAUGCGUAUUCCAUAGUUAUGAAUGCCUAGUCAAUGUUUAUGAUUUCCGUUGAACUUAAUGAUCUUUGUUGAAUGUCUCUAUCAUGCGUAUUCCAUAGUUAGGGACUUUGAUGAGGAAUAAUUUGGUUGUAAUGCGUAUUCCAUUCAAUCCAAUGAAUCUAGGGAAAUCUAAGAGUUAAUUUAAGCGGACCUAAUUAACUUGGAACAUUGUCAUUCACAAUUUAUUGAAAGAACAACUGAAAAUCAAUUUAGGUUGCAUAUGUGUCAUGUGUGGAGAAGAACCCUCUAGCUAGUCCGUCACCUAUCCUUUCACCUUAAUUUCAUACUUUUGUCAAUUCUGUAAUUUAUUUAAGUUUAAUUUACUUCUCGUCAAAACCAAAUCCCCCCCCCCCCAUUAUUAAAUUAUAUUAUUUAGUAAGUUUCAUUGUUGAUAGUCUUUUAAUUCAAUUUCCGUCCAUUUCAGUUCCUAGUGUCUAAUUUGAUUGUUUUCAUUAUUUUGAGUCAUUCUAAGUGUGUUUCGAGUUAUUAGAGUUUUUAGCCUAGUUUUGUGUCCUUGAGUCUUGUUUAAUAUUUUUAAAUUAAUUUAGAAUAGAUUAGCAAUCCCUCCUAAUCCCCGGCCUAGAACGAUACCCUACUUACAUCUAUAAUACAUUUAAUAAGUUACUCACCUCUUUGAAUCAGGGAGUAGAAAAUCAAAACCAGGAGAUGCAAGAUCGAGUCAAAAGAGUGGACGAAUUGGAUAUGCAAGUUGGGCAGAUUGUGGAAUUCAUGGCACAUAUUCGAGAUCAAAGUGAACUUUCCAACUCAAACAUUGCAAAUUCAAAGGCAGAAAGUGAAAUCGAUGAAGCCAUCACUUUGGAAGGUGACAUGAAGGAUGAAGCUGUCCCAGAACCAUCCAAACACAGCCCGAACAUGGAUGAAAUGCUGCUGCAAGCAGAAGAGGAGGAGGACGACCUGGGCAGUUUAGAAGAAUUCUUGCUGCAAGCUCCUCAAAUCCCUAUGUCAUCCAACUCAGGUGAGGAAGUUCUAAAUUCACUUCAUUCUAACAUUAUUCCACCGAAUGUCCUUUGUCCUUGCAGGUUUUUUAUUCCAAAUAUCAAAGAGAGUGAAAAAGACAUUGUGGAAGCUCUUCCAAAGGUGCAAAGUGAUAUCCCAAUUCUUGGUGCACCAAAACAAGUUCCCGAUGGUAUUGAAACGUUCAAAGAACCUUGCACACCAAGAAAAGGGAUUCAAGAAAAUGAAGUGGUUGAAGCAUAUCAAGAAUACAUCCAAGAGGUUGUGCAUGAGAUAAUCAAGCCCAAAGCAGUUGAGUUUGAUAACACGGGACAAGCCACAACCAUCAUAGUAAACCUGGCCAAGUUCAAAGUCCCGGAAAUGUUCAAAGAUGUGGUGUUUGUCAUUGAGUUUGUGUCAGAAAAAGAAAGUAAGCCAUCUUCUCCAAUUCUAAUUUUAAUUUAUACUAACAUGUUUCUGAUUUUGAUGAUUCAGGCACCCACUCUUGAAUUUAAACCAUUGCCGAAUCAUUUCAAGUAUCACCUCCCAUUAAAAGAUAAAUUCCAUGCUUUGGAGCCGAGGGGAGUUUAAAGGAAAGAUUCGUCCGGCUAAAGACGUUAAAUCAAGCGCUUCUUGGGAGGCAACCCAAGCAUUCAAUGAAGAGAGACUUUGGAAUCGCUAACCAAAUCAGAUUUGCAUUCUUACACCCUUAUCUUUACUGCUUUCAUUUUAUUUUGUUUAGUUAGUUGUGUUAUUUGGUUGAUUUUUGUGAGUUUGUGUUAUUUAGUUUAAGUGUGGGGGAAGGUUAAACAAAGUCUUUUUACAUUGAUUUACAUAUUUUACAUUGAUUUAAAAAAAACAAAACAAAACAAAACACACCUAAAAAAAAUAAAAAAAAUAAAAAAAAUAAAAAAAAAACAUAAAAGUAAAAAUAUUUUACAAUGAUGUGUAAACUAAUAGCAUUCAUUGGUCAGGUGGUGCUUCAGUAGUCGGCGGAGCUUCAGCAGUCGGCGGGGCCACGGAAGGAGGAGGUAUCGGAGGUUGAUUAGUUGGAGCUUCACUACGCGGUGCCGCCCCAGAAGACGAAGGCAGAUGCGGUUGGAACAAACCCACAAACCUCCGGUGAUCAAGUAAAAUCUGACCAUCAUUUUCCUGCAGCUGGUCAAUUUUCCUCUUCAUGUUUGUGGCAUAAUUGUGUGCAAGCUUGUGCAAUUGUUUAUUUUCAUGCUUGAGUCCUCUAAUCUCCUCUUUGAGACUCUGUAUUUCAGCCACCAACGAUUCAACGUGACGGGUUCGAGCAAAUAGGCGUUGGGCCAUGUUGGACACAGAACCCGCACACUGCACGCUAAGAGCCAGAGAUUCCUUAACCGCCAAUUCAUCAGACCGUCUAGCGAGCAGUCUGUUAUCUCUGGGGGUAACAAGGUUCCGGGCCACCACCGCAGCUGUCAUAUCAUUUUUCAUCACCGAAUCCCCCACGGUAAGGGGACCGGUAGAGGAUAUGAAAUAUGGGCGCCAUAUGUUGUCUGGUGAAGGCGGAGCUGCCUCUUCACCAAUGUUCAAGUCAAAACGACGAUCGGAAGGGCCAGACAUUUUUCAGAAUGGUAAAGAAAAAAUAGAUCGGACAGAUUAAGAUUUUGGAAGUGCAAGAAUGGAGUGUUUACAGGAGGGAGCUCAAGUGUGUUGUGGAACAAAAUUAACGCCUCUAUAAAAAGAAGAAAUCAAAGAGGCGCUCCUCAGAGAGGCGUCCUCUCGCAAAUCGAAGAGUCGGGGCUCCUUUCUCAAACGCCUAAUUCUUUUCUCAAAAGAGGAGUUUCCUUCCUCAAAAGCCGGAUUCUUUUCUCAAAAGAGGCGUUUCAUUUCUUAAAAGUUGGGCUUGCUCAGAAACCACGAGCCGAACCCUGGAUUUCAAAAGAUCAAUUUGUCCAGACGUGUGGUCACUCGUCACAUGCAACUAGCAGCUUUGCGGAAAUUAUGGGCAGCUUUGUCAGAAAGCGCGUAAUUUGUACUAUUCAUCCAUCCACCGGCUGCCGACAAUGAGUAAGGGAAUAGUUCCGGUUGUGAAGAAAAGUCCUAUAAGUAUCUACCUUCGCCUUCCCACAGCAAAGGCACACCCUCUCAACACUUCUUCAUCUCCGAGAAUGUAUUCCCAAAGAAACCUUUCUAGUCACUCUGUAUUUUUCAUCCCCUGGGAUACCCCUGCAAACAACCCAUCCAGAGCACAAGUAUUUCAUAUCAUCAAGGUUGAGAGCACGAGUAUCUCAUAUCAUGCUUUCUCCAUGUCCUUUCUCCAGUCAGCCCUUGCUCUCGAGUACUCAUCAUCUUAUGCUUUUGCUUUGUUUCUCACUUAUAAGGGAAGUGAAGAUGAUACCUCGAAGCAUGUGGAGAGAACGUGUUGAUUCAUCCUCAACUAAGGACAAGGAGAAAGAGAGCAAGAGGUGGGCAUUUGGAAAGAUUGAAGAAAGAAACAGACCAACACCUCUCCCUCGUGCCUGCCCGUCGUGCAGAAGAAACAAGCAGAGAAGAAUGCAGCUUGCACAAUCAUCCCAGCAGAAGGAGUCUGAGAUGAAGAACUAGAGAAGCUGCCACAUCUGCUUGGAGAACAAAUAAGGAACUGCAACAUCACCAAAGAGCAAAGCCUCGCCGUACAAUAUCAUCAAAUCAUCACUUGCAAGUAAAAAGCUAAGUGUCACCCCGUUCAAGAGGAAAGCUGUGGAAAGUCAACAAGCACGACCAAUGAUCACUUAUUAGUUCUAUUCAUUGUCUUUUAUCGUGAUUUUCAAUUUUUCGUUUGCAAUUUUUUUUACAUUUUCUUGCGUUACUUAACUGAAUUAUUUCUUUUCUUUGCAGGAAUUUUUGGUUAUUUCCACCCUUGAAGUUGAUUGCAGAAUUUUAGCUUGGGGGGGUCAUCGCUUGAUUUUACUGCAAACUAAGGAAGUUUUCAGUCCAAUUGCUUUAUUUUGUUUCUUAUUAUUUAUUUAUUUUAUUUUUAUUUGCAUUAUAGUGUUUUCUAACAUUGGGGACAAUGUCCAGUUUAAGUUUGGGGGUAAAGAGUAUAAAAAUGACCAAAUUGAAAUUUUUUUUUUUUUGUACCUUCAACUACGAACGAGUUUCAUUUGUUUCCAUGUUGUUGCUUUUUGUUUUCUUAAUUAAUUUUGUUUUCUUUUAAAAAAAAAUUUUAAAAAUCGGAAAAUUUAAAAAUCCAAAAAUAUUGUCUUGUUUCCUUUAUUGUUAUGAAUUAGAUUUUUGUUAGUUUCCCGACCCAAUGAUAUAAUUGGAUCAAAUUUGAACCAUGAUUAUCAAGAACUUAGUUAACAUGUGUUUUGUGAAAUUCCUAAUUCUCUUGUUAGUUUUGUACAUGUUUGACCAUCUUUGAAAAACCAAAUGCACAUAGCCUUGUUAAUGUGAAACUAAAGUAUGACUUAAAGCUUCAUAUGUGAAUUUAGUGACCAUAUACAUCCUAUGUGAGUUUUUGAGCCGAUUGAAAGUGUGUGCAUUUUUCAUACUCCUAUUCUUUCAUGUGUGAUGAACUUAUGUGAGAUACAUCUCUAGAACUUGCGUAACGAUCUUUCGAAAUGUUUGUCAUUGAUUGCAUGAACUUGGAAAUGAUAGAGGCAUCAGGUUUACCACUAUGGCCCAAAUAACCAUGUUUCCCAAAUAUAUCAUUAGAUUGCCAAUUUGAGCCGUGUAUGUUGAGCCUUUUAUUUCUUAUCACCAGAUAUGUCUACCCUUAUACCUGAAACAUUUGUUUUUUUUUUUUCCUUACCCUUUCCAAGCAAGCUAGUGAGCAAUGUGAGAUUGUCUUAUGAGAAAUGUUUGUGAAGUACUUUGAAGGUGUAGUUAUGUGUUUAUCAAAAAAAAAAAAAAAAAAAAAAAAAAAAAAAAAAAAAAAAGGAGAAAAGAAAAAGAAAAAGAAAGAUUGUAUACAAAGAAAAUAAAAAGUUUUUAAAGUUUCAGUUUAAGGGUGUGGUUGGAGGUGCUAGAAGAAUUGCUAGAGAGCUUGAGUUCUUAUAAAUCUAAAGAAAAGAAUUGCUUGCAAUGUAGCUUGGAACUUGUGUUUUCCUAUUCUUUCGUUUCAAUAACCCUAUCCCUAACCCUCAUUACAUCCAAUAAAAGUCCUCUUGAUUUAAGUUUUGCAAUUACGACUGCGGAGAAGUGAUCUUUAUGCAAGCUUAUGGUAGAACUUUCACAUUUGAUUCUUUGAGCGAAACACAUUUAAACUAAACACAUGUGUGAUUGAGUGUAUAUCUCGUGAGAAGGUUGCUAGUUUGCAUAUGAUGAUUUUAAAAAUAUAAAAAAAAUUUGCAUUAGCAUGGCUAUCUCACACACUACACUUCAAGGAUGAUUCAAAGAUUACUGCUAAUAUUUGAAUAAGGAAGAUGAACUUGGAUUAGCUUGUUUGGUGCCAGCUAUGGUUCUUGUUGAUUUGUGUUCUCAAAUGAAAUUCUAUGAGGGUCACAUAGGGGGAAGCUAACGUUUUUCUUGUUACUACUUGUUCUUUUUUUCUUUGUUUUGCUCGAGGACUAGCAAAAGUUAAGUGUGGGGGUAUUUGAUCGGAUCAUAUUUAUAUAUAUUUUUACUUCGAAUUCAUUCGUCUUUUCUUAGUUAGUUCCUUAUAUUUUUGAGCUAUUUACUUUGUUUUUGCGUAUUAUAGGAUUUGUCUAGCAAAGAAAAUAAAAAUAGAACAAGUGAAAUUUUAUGUAAUAAAUUCGUCAAAACUGUCUGUGUAGAUCAGCUUUUAAAUAAAAUUAAAAAAAAAUAAUAAUGAUAAGUCAUGAUGAUGUUUGAAACAUCAUCGUGAUUCAUGUUUUGUAGGAGAGUGUUGGACGGCAAAAACAAAAGAAAAGGAAUAAAGAAUGGAAUGAUGGAGGAAUAAAAGAAACAUAAAGAAAGGAAUGGUGGAAAGAAAAACAGAAAUUGAAUAAGGAAAGGGGAGAAGUGAAAGGCAGCGAGGCUGCCAAAAAGAAAACAGAAAAAUAAAGAGAGAGGGAGAUAGCAUAGAAGCGGGGAGAGGGGAGAGACCAAGGGAAACGAAAUAAUAAAAAAAUAAAAGAAGAAACAGAAGGAUGACAGGAGGGGAGAGAGAGAUAGGGACGGAAAGAAGCAGCCAAGCUGCCUUGAAAGGCAGCGCCAUUUGAAAAGCUAGUGGGAGAGACUGACAGCGAGGUCAGGCGAGCAGAAAGCUGCCUUAGGCAGCGAGAAAAAUAGGGAAGCAGAGAGCUGCCUUGGCAGGUCAGAGCCUUGCAGCGCAGGUCAGAAGGCACGGGCACAGUGAGAAGAAAAUUAGAGGCUUCACUUCAUUUCUCUCGGUUAAAUCUUUCCAACUUAUGUUUUACUUUUGGUUUAAUUUGAUAAUAAUGUGUAAAUAAUUUUAUUUUGGCUAGAGGUUAAUUCAAAGCCAUGAAUAUAUUUGUAAUAUGAAUUGAUUACCUUCAAUUGUGAUUUCUGAGUUGUGAUUUAAUUUGCUUAACUGCUUGAUUGAUAGCUUAUUUUUGUAUGUCGAUUAAGAAUGCAUACUUAAUUUACAUGCAUGAAUUUGACGCUAGAUAUAAGGGAGUUUCACCUAAUCAUUAUGAACUUAUAUUCACAAGUAGUGAAGGUUGCUAGUCACAAUCACGUUAAGUAAAUUUUUGGCAUAAGUUUCAUGCAAAUCAUAGUUACGAAUGCCUCGUCAAUGCUUAUAGUUUUCACAAAGUUUAAUGAUCUUUGAUUGUAUCUCUAUUGUGCUUUUCACGUAGGGGACUUUUGAAGAAUGUUUUGAAUUGUUGUAUGCGUUUUUCCGUCCAAUUCAAUAACUUAAGGAAAACUUGAAGAUUAAAAAAGUGAUGUUCACGGUUAAUCUGAAGUAUUGAGAUUUACAAUUUAUUGAAAGAACAACUGAAAAUCAAUUUUGGUUGCAUAUGUGUCAUGUGUGGAAAAGAACCCUCUAGCUAGUCUGUCACCUAUCCUUUCACCUUAAUUUCAUACUUUUGUCAAUUCUGUAAUUUAUUUAAGUUUAAUUUACUUCUCGUCAAAACCAAACCCCCCCAUUAUUAAAUUAUAUUAUUUAGUUAGUUUUCAUUGUUGUUAGUCUUUUAAUUCAAUUUCCGUCCAUUUCAGUUCCUAGUGUCUAAUUUGAUUGUUUUCAUUAUUUUUAGUCAUUCUAAAUGUGUUUCGAGUUAUUAGAGUUUUUAGCCUAGUUUUGUGUCCUUGAGUCUUAUUUAAUAUUUUUAAAUUAAUUUAGAAUAGAUUAGCAAUCCCUCCUAAUCCCCGGCCUAGAACGAUACCCUACUUACAUCUAUACUACAAUUGUCAACAAGAGGGUUUAAUUUGUGUGUCAAGUAAUUUUCACAUCAAUGCACGGUAAGCCAUUCACCAUCUCCUUCUUGGAUAAUAAAUCUAGUCCCCCAAAAUUAAAAUGCCCAAAACGAAGAUGCCAAAGCCAGGAUGUGUCUUUGUAACAUGUUUUGAGGCACUUUGCAACAUCAUUUUGAAUAUUCAUAGGAAACAUCCUAUUCUUUGACAUUUUCACCUUGGCAAUUAAUCUUCCAUUGUCAUCUCUAAGAAAAAGGCUAUAAUUUUUCAUGUGAAUAUCAUAACCUUUUUCUAAGAGUUGACCUAAGCUCAAAAUGUUGCUUUUCAUAUUGGGCACAUAGUAGACAUUUGAAAUUAAUUGAUGAGCGCCAUUUUUAGGGGAAUUAGGAUGUUACCUUUUCCUUUUACGGGUAUUUUGGAUUCAUCUCCAAAAGAAACGUUGCCACUCACCAAUUCAUUGAGCUCUAUGAACAUGCUUCUUCUUCCGCACAUGUGGUUACUGGCGCCGGUGUCAAUGUACCAUGUAUAGUCUUGGUCUCCAUCAUUGUUCUUGCAUGCUAGUAGCACAACGCCAUUAUCUUUUUUCUCUUCUUUCACAUAAUUGACCUUCUCAUCAAGCCUGUUGCUUGGAGCUCUACAUUCCCAAGCAUAAUGCCCAAACUUGUGACAAUUGUAGCAUUGAACUUGAGAUUUUUCAUACCUCAAGUUUGAGCGUCCUCUUCCAUGACCUUUUGUUGAGCUUUCUCCUCUUUCGUAGUUACUAUGGUUGUUGAAGUUCCAACCACGUCCACAUCCAUGUCCAUGUCCGCGACCUCGACUACGACUUCUUCCGUACUGGCUUCUCUUGUUGUCGAAGCUUUCUUCUUUCUUUUUUGGCUGGACAUGCGUCUUAAGGAGUUGCUCAUCAUUCCCUUGCCUUUUCUUAUGUUUCUUUUCAUAUGCUUGUAGCGAACCCAUUAAUUGCUCUAUACUAAUUUGUUCCAAGUUUUUAGUUUCUUUAAUUGUCACGACAAUGUGCUUGAACUUGGGGUCCAACGAGCAUAGUAUCUUCUCCAUAAUUCUAACAUCUUCUAACUUUUCUCCGUUUCUUUUUAAUUGAUUGGAAACGGCUAAGACUAUUGAGUAAUAAUCAGAGAUUGAUUCAGACCCUUUCAUUUGUAGAGAUUCAAACUCACCUCUUAAUACUUGAAGUCGAACCUUUUUCACUUGUUAGGCUCCUUUGUAAGAGGUAUGGAGCUUCUCCCAUGCUUGCUUGGCAGAGGUUACACUCGAGACAUUCUCAAAGCCAUUGUCAUUUAAUGCUUGGUAGAUGAGGUAGAGAGCCUUUUUGUCUCUCUUUCUUGAAUCUUUCAAACUCUCAUUUUGGGGUUGGGACAAAGUAGCUUCAUAUUUUGGCUCAGUGUAGCCAUUCUCCACGACUUCCUAUACAUCGUGUGCUCCCAAAAGGGCCUUCAUUUUGAUACUCCAAUUAUCGAAGUUGUUCUUGUCGAGCACUGGAACUUGGAAGGCUGCCAUAGCGUUGCUAGCCAUAGCUCUAGUACCACUUUGUUAGGGCUUAAAAAGACUUCACUACUUUGGAGAUGUUUAUCUCACAAAGAAGAAUGUAAUGCAGCAGAAUGGAUAGGCAAGAGAAAGAAAGAAUAGUCAAAGUAUUACACAAGAUUUUUAUUCACUCACAAACUUAGUACAAGAGGAAACACUCAAACACUCUUAGAAGCUUUGUUGCUUCUUCUCACUUCUCACUUGGCACUCUCACUUCUCACUACUUGCUCUCUUGGUUGUUACAAAUGGUGUGGAUGCCUUCUCCUUUUAUAGGCAUGGAUGAAACCUUGGAGAAGCAUGGAAGCAUCAUGCUAGAGAUAUCUAGAUAAUUCCACUACCUUCCUAAGCUAUAAUUGUCUACACUAAUCUUGUAUGUUGGUGGAAUCCUCACCAUUCUUCUAGACUCUUCCACCAACUUGAACUUUGCAAGAAUUCUCUAGCAUGUGCAUGGAUCUUUCUUUGUGCAUAGGCUGGAUCCAUUAUCUUUGGGCCAAGACAAGAUUACAAUUCAACAAUAUGAUGUAACAGCGAAAAUCCUCUUAUUCAUAACUAAUUAAUUCAUAAUUGUUUCUAAAUACAGUCAAAUUCAGCUUUCGUUUUUUAUUAUCCGCAUCAAUGAUUGUUACACGAAUCUGGAAAAUAUUGAAUUCAAUACAACACGUGUAGCGAAAAGCUGUUGAGUUUCUUUGUUUCCUAACCGGCGAUAUAUUUGGAAUACUCUAGACUAAGAACUAGUUGAUUCUUAUUAACCAAGUUUAUCGUCAACUCGAUCUCGUAUUCAGGUAACUAGGUCGCCAGAAGAGAUAUAACUCUAGACAAGAACUAAGUUAUUGUUGGUAACCAAGUAAUGCCAUAUUUGACCAUGUAUAUGAGUAAUUGGGUCAUCAUGUUCUUUUAGAGCAAUUUGAACAAUUUGCAAAUCAAAUGUUAUUAUUUUUCGGAUUGGUGUGUGUACCAAAGAGUUAUCAGGUUUUUAGAUUUUCAUUUCAUUUAUCAUUUCUUAAUCUGAUAAUAUGUAUUCCAUCUCUUCGAAUCAUGUCUAACAAUUCCCAUUGUCCUCUAGUUAUCUUAAUUGUUCCAAAGAUCAAAUGGCCAUGAGCAACACAUUUACCCUUUGUGUCGUUGCUCAUUGUUGUGUUCUAUAUGCAUUAAAAUGAUGAAUAAAAAAAUUCUUAGCUGCAGGAUAUCAGCCAACAAUAUAUCUGCUGCAGGAUGCUCAAGCUUAACAAGUUUAGCUGCUUAUCCAAACAACUUUAUGACACUAGUAGAACUUUAAGGAAAAAAAAAUACACAAACUUGUAAGGUUUAGUUUAAUGUUCUUGUUUUAGAACAAUUACACUUCUAAGUUGAAGGUCAAAAUUUAACUGGUUCCCACGCUUGAGAUUUUCAAAUUUUACAGGUAAUUGUUGAUUGAGCUCAUUACUUCUAAAUAGUGCAACAAAUAUACCCAUACAUACCACAUUGUCUUAAUGAGGAUCCAUGACAUUUCUUAAAACAUGUUACCAAUUUGCAUGUUUCUUGUUUCAUCCACCUGAUGAUGUCAGUAUAUCUCUUUUCAGAAAUGGAAGGAUUGUGGUGACGGACGAAGCAUUGAACACAAUGGAUUUUCCUAACCCUUAAUUAUGCUUCACUAAUACUAGCUUAAAUAUUUUGUAUGAUCAAGCUACGAAGUAAUGAAAUUCUGUGGAGGAAGAUAAACAUCAUAAGAUAUGUUCUGGUGUACUAUGACCUUAAGUUUGCAACUGCAAAGAUAAGGACAGUUGGUAAUUAAUGUAGUAACAUGGAAAGUUGUUUCUUUAAUAUCUUCUUACUAUCCCUUAAUUUCACUUUGGUUGCCCGUUUGUUCAUUUUUGUUUUAAAUUUCUUAAAAAAAAUUUUAAAAAAAAAGAAAGCAUUUCGACAACUGUAUAUUUUUUUACAAAACCAAGAACCUGGUUAAAAGUCCAAACAAAUUUCUAGCUUCAUCCCUCAAUCCAGAGCUAUCAUGUUGUUGUAAACCAUAUAUAGAAAUUUUGAGUUAUAAAACAAGAUGUCACAAUGACAUUAUACCAACAAUGAAUAACAAAAUUGCAACAAAUAUUGCCUAAAAUUACCAAAUGCCAUCACAAUAAAUAGGGAAUUUCUCAAAUCCAUGACAUCAUCACCUCAUCUAAAUCUCAUCCGAUCUCCCACAAUCCUCAUUAUCUGACUAGUCUCUAUAGAGACCAAGUUGAACCAUUUAAAAUUUGUUUUGAAGAAAUGGUCAUGUCAAAGACAUUUACACUUUGCAUCGUUGCUGUCUUGGUGUGCUCGGUUUGCAUCGAAACAGCGAGUGCAAAAUCCAUUGGAUAUCCAAUCAUGAGGCACGACCAGCCCAUUCAUUGUAGGGACUCACGUUGCCUGCCACCGCCAUCUCGUCGUUAUCCCAAGGUUGUGAGCCGGAUGAGAGGUGCCGAGAUGGUCGUAAAUUAAAAUAAAUCUUCAUAACCACAAGAGAUUGAUGAAACUAAUUCUCUGUUGACCACGCAGUUAGCAAUUUUGUAAACAAAUUCGGUAAACACAUCACUCUUAUUCGUAAAAAAAAUGAUCAUGAACACAUACUCGUUCCAAAAAUUCAAGGGACAGAUUGAUCUUUUGUAACAGGUAUGUGAAACCUACAAAUAUACGCUAACAUAGCUACCAUUAGAACUUGUCUAUUACAAUAACGGGCUAACUAGUCUAUACAUGAGCACAGAAAUUGGUUGAAAACAUUUCAAAAUAGAAAAUCUUAACAUUGCCUUUUUAACAUGAAACCUUGCUACAUCAGUGGAGACAAACCUCUCUAUCUGAAACUAUCAGAAUGUAAAUAUGUGGUCAUCUGCUAUGAUCUUGGAAAACACGCAAAUCAGUGUCCUCGUUAGUUUGUCCCCAUUUAAGGUUUUAACAGUGCUGAAAUGAUCAACUGGAUAUCGGCCAACAAUAUAUCUACUACAGGAAACUUAAGCGUAACCAAUUUAGCGGCUUAUCCAAACAACUUUAUGACACUAGUAGAACUUUAAGGGAAAAAAACACACAAACUUGUAAGGUUUAGUUCAAUGUUCUUGUUUUAGAACAAUUACACUUCUAAGCUGAAAGUCAAAAUCUAACUCGUUCCCGCGCUUGAGAUUUUCAAAUUUUACAAGUAACUGAUGAUUUAGCUCACUACUUCUAAACAGUGCAACAAAUAUACCCAUACAUACCACAUUGUCUUAAUGAGGAUCCAUGGCAUUUCUAAAACAUGUUACCAAUUUUCGUGUUCCUUAUUUCAUCCACCUGAUGAUGUGUGUAUAUCUCUUUUCAAAAAUGGAAGGACUGUGGCGACGGAGGAAGCAUUGAACACAGUGGAUUUUCCUAACCCUUAAUUAUGCUUCACUAAUAAUACCUUAAAUAUUUUGUAUGAUCAAGCUACGAAGUAAUGAAAUUCUGUGGUAGAAGAUAAACAUCAUAAGAUAUGUUCUGGUGUACUAUGACCUUAAGUUUGUAGCUGCAAAGAUAUGGACAGUUGGAAAUUAAUGUGGUGACAUGGAAACGUUGUUUCUUUAAUAUCUUCUUACUAUCCCUCAAUUUCACUUUGGUUGCCCGUUUGUUCAUUUUUGUUUUAAAUUUCUUUAAAAAAAUUAAAAAAGAAAGCAUUUCAACAACUGUAUAUUUUUUACAAAACCAAGACCUCAGUUCAAAGUCCAAACAAAUUUCUAGCUUCACCCUUCAAUCCAAAGCUAUCGUGUUGUUGAAAACCAUAUAUAGAAAUUUUGAGUUAUAAAACAAGAUGUCACAAUGACAUUAUACCGACAAUGAAUAAACAAAAUUGCAACAAAUAUUGCCUAAAAUUGCCAAUUGCCAUCACAAUAAAUAGGGAAUUUCCCAAAUCCAUGACAUCAUCACCUCUUCUAAAUCCCAUCCGAUCUCCCACAAUCCUCAUUAUUUGACUAGUCUCUAUAGAGACCAAGUUGAACCAUUUAAAAUUUGUUUUGAAGAAAUGGCCAUGUCCAAGAUGUUUACACUUUGCAUUCUUGCUGUCUUGGUGAGCUCAGUCUGCAUCGAAACUGUGAGUGCAAAAUCCAUUGGUUAUCCAGUCAUGAGGCACGACUAGCCCAUUCAUUGUAGGGACUCACGUUGCCUGCUGCCGCCAUCUCUUCGUUAUAGCAGAGGUUGUGAGCCGAAGGAGAGGUGCCGAGGUGGUCGUAAAUUAAAAUAAAUCUUCACAACCACAAUAUAUUGAUGAAAUUUCAAGCCAUUACCAAAAGUCUACCCUUUUCAGCUGAAGAUGGUGCGUAUUCUUUUAUAUAUAUAUACUAUAUAUAUAUAUAUAUAUAUAUAUAUAUAUAUAUUGUUCUUUAUCUAAACUUAUUGUGAGAUUAGUAUGAUGUAACCAUGAAAAUCCCCUUAUUCAUAACUAAUUAAUUGAUAAUUGUUUCUAAAUACAAUCAAGUUCAACUUUCUUUUUUAAUUAUCCGCAUCAAUGACUGUUACACAAAUCUGGCAAGUAUUGAAUUCAAUACAACACGUGUAGUGAAAAGCUAUUGAGUUUUGUUGUUUCCGAACCGGCAAUAUAUUUGGAAGAGCAAUGACUCUAGACUAAGAACUAGUUGAUUGUUAUUAACCAAGUUUAUAUGUCAACUCGAUCUCGUAUUCAGGUAACUAGGUCGCCAGAGGAGAUAUAACUCUAGACAAGAACUAGGUUAUUGUUGGUAACCAAGUAAUGAUAUCUGCCCAUGAAACUCGACCAGGCGUAUCGUUGCAUGGAGUGAUGAUGCAUGCUUCAUCAUCGAACUCAUAUACAAUGUCUGUGAGGGGGAGAACAGGCGUGUACCUUGUCUAAAAUUAGAAUAAAUCUUCCGAAACACAAGAGAUAAUGAUCUUCAAGACUUUACCAUUAUGUACAUACUUACUAUAUAGUUCUUCAUCUAACUAUUUUGUAAAUGUGAUGUGAUUAUAACGCACAAUCUUUUUUCUUCAUUCGUCAAAUGACGAUAGUUCUUUGAAAACUAAUUCUUUGUUGACCAAGCGGUUAGCGAUUUGUAAACAAAUUCGGUAAACACAUCACUCUUAUUCGUAAAAAAAAUGAUCAGGAACACAUACUCGUUCCAAAAAUUCUAGGGAUGGAUUGAUCUUUUGUAACAGGUAGAUAUGUGCAAGCUACAAAUAUACGCUAACAUAGCUACCAUCAGAACUUGUCUAUUACAAUAACGGGCUAACUAGUCUAUACAUGAGCACAGAAAUUCGUUGCAAACAUUUCAAAAUAGAAAAUCUUAAAAUUGCCUUUUUAACAUGUAACUUUGCUACAUCAGUGGAGACAAACCUCUUUAUUGGAAACUAUCAGAUUGUAAAUAUGUGGUCAUCUGCUAAGAUCUUGGAAAACACGCAAAUCAGUGUCCUCGUUAGUUUGUUGCCAUUUAAGGUUUUAACAAUGCUGAAAUGAUCAGCUAGAUAUCGGCCAACAAUAUAUCUGCUACAGGCAGCUUAAGCUUAACCAGUUUAGCUGCUUAUCCAAACAACUUUAUGACACUCGUAGAACUUUACGGAAGAAAAAAAACACACAAACUUGUAAGGUUUAGUUCAAUGUUCCUUUUUUAGAACAAUUACACUUCUAAGCUAAAGGUCAAAAUUUAACUCGUUCCCGCGCUUGAGAUUUUCAAAUUUUAGAGGUAACUGUUGAUUGAGCUCACUACUUCUAUACAGUACAACAAAUAUACCCAUACAUACCACAUUGUCUUAAUGAGGAUCCAUGGCAUUUCUUAAACAUGUUACCAAUUUUCGUGUUUCUUGUUUCAUCCUCCUGAUGAUGUGUGUAUGUCUCUUUUCAGAAAUGGAAGGAAUGUGGCAACGGGGAAAGCAUUGAACAAAAUGGAUUUUCCUAACCUUCAAUUAUGCUUCACUAAUACUGCCUUAAAUAUUUUGUAUGAUCAAGCUACGAAGUAAUGAAAUUCUGUGGUAGAAGAUAAACAUCAUAAGAUAUGCUCUGGUGUACUAUGACUUUAAGUUUGCAGCUGCAAAGAUCUGGACAGUUGGUAAUUAAUGUAGUGACAUUGCAACGUUGUUUCUUUAAUAUCUUCUUACUAUCCCUUAAUUUCACUUUGGUUGCCCGUUUGUUCAUUUUUGUUUUAAAUUUCUUGAAAAAAAUUAAAAAGAAAGCAUUUCGACAACUCUAUAUUUUUUACAAAACCAAGACCUCGGUUCAAAGUCCACACACAUUUCUAGCUUAACCCUUCAAUCCAGAGCUAUCAUGUUGUUGAAAACCAUAUAUAGAAAUUUUGAGUUAUAAAACAAGAUGUCACAAUGACAUUAUACCAACAAUGAAUAAACAAAAUUGCAACAAAUAUUGCCUAAAAUUGCCAAAUGCCAUCACAAUAAAUAGGGAAUUUCUCAAAUCCCUGACAUCAUCACCUCUUCUAAAUCUCAUCCGAUCUCCCACAAUCCUCAUUAUUUGACUAGCCUCUAUAGAGACCAAGUUGAACCAUUUAAAAUUUGUUCUGAAAAUAUGGCCAUGUCCAAGACGUUUACACUUUGCAUCGUUGCUGUCUUGGUGUGCUCGGUUUGCAUCGAAACAGCGAGUGCAAAAUCCAUUGGUUAUCCAGUCAUGAGGCACGACCAGCCCAUUCAUUGUAGGGACUAACGUUGCCUGCCGCCGCCAUCUCGUUGUUAUCGCAGAGGUUGUGAGCCGGAUGAGAGGUGCCGAAGUGGUCGUAAAUUAAAAUAAAUCUUCGCAACCACAAGUGAUUGAUGAAACUUCAAGCCAUUACCAAAAGUCUACCCUUUUCAGCUGAAGAUGUUGCCCAUUCUUAUAUAUAUAUACUAUAUAUAUUGUUCUUUAUCUAAACUCAUUGUGAGAUUAGUAUGAUGUAACCGCGAAAAUCCCCUUAUUCAUAACUAAUUAAUUGAUAAUUGUUUCUAAAUAUAAUCAAGUUCAACUUUCUUUUUAAUUAUCCGCAUCAAUGACUGUUACAUGAAUCUGGCAAGUAUUGAAUUCAAUACAACACGUGUAGCGAAAAGCUAUUAAGUUUCGUUGUUUCUGAACUGGCGAUAUAUUUGGAAUAGCAAUGACUCUAGACUAAGAACUAGUUGAUUGUUAUUAACCAAGUUUAUAUGUCAACUCGAUCUCGUAUUCAGGUAACUAGGUCGCCAGAAGAGAUAUAACUCUAGACAAGAAAUAGGUUAUUGUUGGUAACCAAGUAAUGAUAUCUGCCCAUGGAUCUCAACCAAGCGUAUCGUUGCAUGGGGUGACGAUGCAUGCUUCAUCAUCAAACUCAUAUACAAUGAUUAUGAGGGGGAGAACAGGCGCGUAGCUUGUCUUAUAUUAGAAUAAGUCUUCCGAAACACAAGAGAUAAUGAUCUUCAAGACAUUACCAUUAUGUAAAUAUUUACUAUAUAGUUCUUCAUCUAACUAUUUUGUAAAUGUGAUGUGAUUAUAAUGCACAAUCUUUUUUCUUCAUUCAUCAAAUGACAAUGGUUCUUUGAAAAUUAAUUCUUUGUUGACCAAGUGGUUAGCGAUUUUGAAAACAAAUGCGGUAAACACAUCACUCUAAUUCAUAAAAGAAUGAUCAUGAACACAUACUCGUAUCAGAAAUUCAAGGUACGGAUUGAUCUUUUGUAACAGGUAGAUAUGUGAAAGCUUCAAAUAUACGCUAACAUAGCUACCGUCAGAACUUGUCUAUUACAAUAAUGGGCUAACUAGUCUAUACAUGAGCACAUAAAUUGGUUGCAAACAUUUCAAAAUAGAAAAUCUUAGCAUUGCCUUUUUAACAUGUAACUUUGCUACAUCAGUGGAGACAAACCUCUCCAUCUAAAACUAUCAAAAUGUAAAUAUGUGGUCAUCUGCUACGAUCUUGGAAAACCCGCAAAUCAGUGUCCUCGUUAGUUUGUUGCCAUUUAAGGUUUUAACAAUGUUGAAAUGAUCAACUGGAUAUCGGCCAACAAUAUAUCUGCUAGAGGCAGCUUAAGCUUAACCAGUUUAGCUUCUUAUCCAAACAACUUUAUGACACUAGUAGAACUUUAAGAUAAAAAAAAAAACACACAAACUUCUAAGGUUUAGUUCAAUGUUCUUGUUUUAGAACAAUUACACUUCUAAGCUUAAUGUCAAAAUUUAAUUAGUUCCCGCGCUUGAGAUUUUCAAAUUUUAUGGGUAACUGUUGAUUGAGCUCACUACUUCUAAACAGUGCAAGAAAUAUACCCAAACAUGCCACAAUUUCUGAAUGAGGAUCUAUGACAUUUCUUAAAACAUGUUGUUAUUGAAGAUCUCCUUGUGUAACUCUUUCACAAAUUAAGUGAUAGUCGAUCUCGAUGGGUUUGGACUUGGCAUGAAACACAUGAUUGGUUGAUAGAGUUAUGGCUGAGAUGUUAUCACAGUGAUUCAUUGGUGCUUGAUAAAGGGGAAUGUGUAAAUCACAAAAUAACUAUCUUAUCCAGGCUAUUUAAGCAGCUGUGAUAGCAAGAGCUCAAUACUCAACUUCUAUAGAUGAGCUCGAUACUCAGCUUCUGUGACAAUUCUUCGAUACACAAUGUGCUUGAUACUCAGCUUUUGUCUUAUCACCGAAAUUAAAAACAGGUUCGUCGUAGUUGGAUGCGACACAUGUGCUUUUUUUAUCGGUCACCGUGUGAACAAAAGUACACAACCGGGUGCAUGUCCAUAUGUGACAAUCUUGACAACGCUAUCGAUCAGCUAGACACUUGCUCUGGCGUUGGAUGUAGCCAAACUAAAAUCCCUAGUGGGCUGAAAAAUCAGACUCUAAAUUUGAGAACCUUUAACAAUCAUACGGAUAUGUGGGACUUCAACCCAUGCAGCUACGCCUUACUUGUGCAAGAAGGCGAGUUCAACUUCAACAGUACAAGUUUUCAAGAACUAAACGACACAACCCGGCUUUCGGCGAUUCUUGAUUAGGAAAUUGGGGAUGAGUAAUGUGAUAUAGCAGCUAAUAACGAGAGCACUUUUGCAUGCAAGGCAAAUACUCCUGCCAUGAUCGGUCUUCAGGUUACACAUGCUGGUGCCUGCCAGGUUUCGAAGGGAACCCAUACCUCCUAGGUGGUUGCGAAGGUAAAUAAAUCUAGACACCAUUUGAUUAUUAUCGUGUGCACUUUUGCAUGCAAGGCGAAUAAAUCUAGACACCAUUUGACCAUUUGAUUAUUAUGAUGAACAAUUUUGUGUUUAUCAAAACAUAGUAGGGUAAAUCUUCAAAAUGGUCCCUGAGAUUUGCAUAACUCAUCACUUUGGUCCCUGAGAUUCCAAAUCAAUAAAAGUGGUCCCUGAGAUUGUCCACCAUCCAUCAUUUUGGUCCUUCUAUUAAAAACUUCGUUAAGUGUCCCAGAGUUCUUGGCCGAAAGUUUUGGCAAUUUUCAAAGCUUCGUAACUCAAUCGUUUCUUAAACAAAUUCGACCCAUAAUAUAUCAAAAUGAAGAUAGGAUAGUUUAGAAUAAGAUUAUACCUCUUUCGAAGCCCAAUGGUUGCCGGUGAUUGCCAGAAAAUAGCCUCAAAGUUGACUAGUCCGAGUGAAAACUUGAAAACUCGCCAAAAACUGGGUAAACUUUAAACGUUCAUAACGUCUUCAAUACUCAAUGCAAUUAAGUGAUUCAAAAACAAAUAUCAUACUUCUCGAUGAGAAAAAGAGAAUGGUACCUUUUUUUAUGGCUAAAGCGCCGUGUUUUGGCCGGAAAACGGCUCAAAAGUGGCGAACUCAGCCACUUUUGAGCCUUUUUCGGCCAAACCACAACGAUUUAGCUGUCAAAAAAGUACCACUCUCUUUGUCUCGUCGAGAAGUAUGAUUUUAGUUUUUAAAUCACUUGAUUUCGUUGAGUAUUGAAGAAGUUAUGAACGUUUAAAGUUUACCCAGUUUCCGGCGAGUUUUCAAGUUUUCACUUUGACCAGUCAACUUUAAGGCUAUUUUCUGGCAAUCUCUGGAAACCAUUGGGCUUCGAAAUAGGUAUAAUAUUAUUCUACACUUUUCUAUCUUCAUUUUGAUAUAUUAUGGGUCGAAUUUGGUUAAGAAACGAUUGAGUUCCGAAGCUUUGAAAUUUGCCCAAACUUCCGGCCAAGAGCUCCGGGACACUUAACGGAGUUUUUAAUGGAAUGACCAAAAUGAUGGAUGGUGGACAAUCUCAUGGACCACUUUUAUCGAUUUGGAAUCUCAGGGACCAAAGUGAUGAGUUAUGCAAAUCUCAGGGACCAUUUUGGCGAUUUACCCAACAUAGUAUACAUGUGUGUUUGUAAAUGUAUGUAUGUAUGUAUGUUUUGUCGGAAAAUAUUAGUAUUUUGGUUUAUUUGAAUGUUUGGUUUUCUGGGCUUAGCCCGUUAGAAUUAGGUUUUGUUAGAAAUUAAGGUUAGGUUAUUAUAAAUAGGAUGCUUUGUUAUUCAUUAGAAAUCAAGCUAGUCACAAUGUAGUUUCUUAGGGUUUUGUAGCCGUUCCGGCAUUCUCAUUAGUUUAAUAAUAUUCCUAUUAUUUUGUUAAUCUCGUUCGUUGCGCACUCUGAUAUUCAACUUGGUAUCAGAGCAGGUUAAAUCCUUCGGGAAUUAAUCUAUUUUGGGGGGGUUGAUAUCGAUCUGUUUGUUCAGUAUCAAACUAUCAGUUUUGUUUUAGUUCGGGUUUUGUUGUUUGAAAACAAAGAAAAAAAUUGAAUCUGUUUGUUUGGGACUUGGGACGCACACCGCGCUGAACCCAGAACCCCAAACUCAUUAUGCCGUUCGUUAUCUACCAGAACCCAAACCUGCACCGAAGCUGUCAUUGGCAUCCACUCCACUCCGUCAUUGAGCCGCAAACCCGCCAUCACACCCACCAAAAUAACAUCGCUACUUACUGCCUAACUAACCCUCUACCCUGUAGCCGCUUAAUCCUCGUACCGAACCAUCACCAUCUCGCUGCCGCCUGGAACCACCUGCCUGCUGAACAUAUAAACUCGUCCGCUGACCCGCAUGCUCGUUCUCACUCUCACCCAAACCCGUGAACCCAAUCUGCACCAUGCCGCUGCAACUAGAAACCUAGCACAUCUGUCGUUCGUCUCCAACACCAGUCGCAUCACCACUUCGUUCCCUGAACUGCUGCUGCGUCUAGACCCGCACCACCUCGCCACCCUACACCCAAUCUAAAACACUCGAUGACCCACACUUGAAGUUGUUGCCUGCGCGCCGCGUCGGAUCGGAUCUGAUGAACCUCCCGCCGCCUUGGACCCAACUCUAUCAUGCUACUAAACCUGCAUCUGCUGUGCUUGUUUUGCAGGUAUGAAGAAAACCAAAUCUUUGGAAAGGGAAGUAAGAAAAAAAAAGGAAAAAGAAAGAAAGGAAAAUUGAAGCAAAAGGAAGUGAAGAAAAGAAAAAAGAAAAAAUUGUUGCUAUUUAUUUUAGGCCCUCACGGGCAAGGUAAAAAAAAACAUGGUUAAGUUUGUGUUUGGGCCACACAAGUGAUAGUAUUUGUGUUUGUUCGUUCAUUCGUUGCUACAAUUGGGAUAUGAAAAUCUCGUUCGUUUAGUGACGGUUUAUUUCCAUACUCUCAACACUAGCCAGUUUGAAUCAGAUUUAGUUUGCCAGCAAGAAUCAAGAAUCAGUUAGCCAGUUCGCCAACCUGCCUGUCUAUCUGUCCGCGCUGCGAAGCCUAUCUGUCUGUCUGUCCGCACUGUGAAGCCUGCCUAUCUAUCUGUCCGCGCUGCGGAGCCUGCCUGCUUGCUUGUCUGUCCACGUUGCGGAGCCUGCCUAUCUGUCCGCCUAACAGAGCCAGUCCGCAUCUGCUUGUUUGCAAACCCAUGUCGUAUAUCGUCAUAAGUUUGACAGGGGGUGUUGGAAAAUAUUAGUAUUUUGGUUUAUUUGAAUUUUUGGUUUUCUGGGCUUAGCUCGUUAGAAUUAGGUUUUGUUAGAGAUUAGGGUUAGGUUAUUAUAAAUAGGAUACUUUGUUAUUCAUUAGAAAUCAAGCUAGUCACAAUGUAGUUUCUUAGGGUUUUGUAGCCGUUCCGGCAUUCUCGUUAGUUUAAUAAUAUUCAUAUUAUUUUGUUAAUCUCGUUCGUUGCACACUCUGAUAUUCAACUGCCUACUUAUUUGAUUAUGGUUAAAUCACAUUAUUGGUAGCCUAUUGUGAGGCUUAGCUCCUCACCCCCUUAGUGUAGAUAAUAUCGUUUGUUCAAAAAAAAAAACAAAUAAAUUUUCAAUUUGCUCGACUUUCUUGGUAUAUAUGAUUGUAUUGUUAGGCUCAUUGGAGUUGCGUUGAGGGAUUCAGCAUACAUUGGAUCCCUUUAUAUCUUAUCAUCUGUUGCGAAGUACUAGCAGAAAAAAACAGCAGUAGUAAGCAAAUAAUUGCCACUUUGGUUGGGGUGCGAAUUGCUGUUAGCUAGAGACAAGAAAAUUGGGUGAUGACUACAUUAGUAAAGCAUGCACUAUGCAGUAAUAAGCUAAAGAACAUUUCCUUCAUUUUGUAUAUAUUGAUAUAAUGUGAGAAUAAUUAUACCAAUUAGCCACAAAUGCUGUGGUUUUGUAUAUAUUGAUAUAUAGUACAUGAACUGUGGCCUUUGGCAUUUUUUAGCAGUGAGUUGUUGACAGAAUGGCUCAAAUUUGAGAUUUUACCUUAUAUUGGAUUUUAAUUCAUUCUUUUUCUUUUCAGAUAUUGAUGUGCUAAGCUUCAAACUCCUGCAGUAUUGGAACCUGCAUAAAUUCAGUGGGAAAUUAUUCUUGUGAAUGUCCGAAAGGGUACAAAAAUGACGACAAGGAUGAAAAAAGUUGCAUCAAGGACAAUGGUCGAGCAAAGCUCAGCCUCCUGCUUAUUAUUUCACUAGGUAUGCAUAUGUUAGUUUUAUUUUACGUUUUUUGUGAUUUUUUUGGGUAGUGCUAUCCACAUACUCGUUUUUACUUCUCACAUAUCCCUUUUAAUUUCCAGGUGUCGGAUCGAAUGAUUUGAAAAAGAUCAAUGAACAAAAUUUAACAAGGGUACGUGAGAAGUAAAAAUAGGUCUGUGAAUAGCAAUUCCCUUUUUUAUACAAGGGAUAUUGGGGGAGGGAGGUCAAAGUUGGGCAUUAAUAAAGAAUAACGGUGAAUACUCUUAACCAAUUAAACUACAAACCUCUUAUUUUUCUUUAGGCAUGCUUGUUUAUUUACAUAUGUCGUAGCCUAAAAUCAUAAACCUAUUAUUUUCUUUUGAACAAUUGACCUCAAAUUUUAUUUGCUCGACCCACUUAUAUUAGAAUUCCUCUCUGCAACACGAAUUUUUCAAUAGAUAUUGUCGAUAAUGUAUAGAUCGUUAUGUACAUUUUCUUAUUGAGAUGAUAUCAAAAUUGAUUUCACGCCUUGUCAUAUACCAUAUGGACGGUUUGUCUUGCCCAGAGGAUGACUAAUAUCUAUGACUUAGAAAAGAUCCAUGUACAAAAUGAAUAAAUAGUCUUCAUUGUAGCUAGUAUUAUACGCACGUAUGUCAUUUUUUGUCCCAAUAUAUCACCUUACUGUCGUAAACAAAACAACAAAACACUAGCCAGACAACAAAAACAAGAUUAAUACAUUGAUGAUACGCUCUAUAUAAUUUGUUUUUUAGCAAUAUAUGUUAUCUUUAACAUCCUAAUAUUAUAUUUUUAUAGACAUGCAUAAACAAACUAUAAAUAAGAUUUUCUUGUUAUUUUGCAAUCUUUUUGCAGGUGCCACUGGAGGCUUCUUGCUUUUACUAGGUCGAUUUUCAUGGAUAUAUUGGGGGAUGCAGAGAAGAAAGUUCAUCAAACUCAAAGAAAAUGGUGUGGCUUAUUGUUACAGCAACAAAUCGCUAGUCAAGGAGCCUCCAUAGAGACAACCUUAACAAUCAUACGUAGUUCUUUCAAUUACUCAUGAAUUACCCAUUCAUAUUUUGAAGGUUAGGUUUUCCUAAUAUAUAUUCUACUUGGAACCUCCAACAUAGAACGUAUAUCUAACAUACAACCCGUCCGGACGUUCGGAUCAAAUAUGAACAUGAAAGACUCAUUAAGUUUCAUGAACCAUGCAACCCUUAAAACGUGGUGUUCAUCUUAAGUGAAAUUACAAUUAUUAAUCACAAGAAGCCAGCGCCAAUUCCAGGGAACGUAAUAUUCAAAAUAAGCAUGGGUAAUUCAUAAGUAAUUGGAAUAACUAAAUAGGAUUGUUAAGGUAACGGCGGAACCCUAAUGUCUCUUUAAAUUGGUUUCUAGUUGAUUUAUUCAAUUAUUUUUAAUUUAAAUUCAUUUUUAUUAUUUUAAAUCUCAAAAUUAACAUUUUCCAAACUUUGUUUUAAAUAAUUAAUUAAGAGUUGGUUUUAAAUAUACAAAUUAUUCAUUCAAUUCUUGUGAAAAAUGACCUUGCUUAAUUGAGUCGUUUAUAUUACAACUACCUUGUUCUCUUGUAAGUAUUUUUAAGUUUUUUAUCCCUAUUUGUGCAAGCGGUAAAAAUCCUAUCAGUGAGGUUAUUGGGUUAUUGUUUAGAGUCAGAAGUUCCUCUACUAGUUUACGGGUUUGUCACUCAUGGCACUCUCUUUCAGCACAUUCAUGGUAAAAAGAGCAAAGAAUCAUCAUUUUCAUUGGAAUUAUGACUGAAGAUAACAGCUGGAGCACUAGCAUACUUACACUCCUCCGCUCUCAUGCAAAUUAUGCAUCGAGAUGUGAAAGCGACAAAUAUACUAUUAGAUGUAAAUUACACUACAAAAGUGUCAGACUUUGGAGCUUCACAAUUGAUUCCUCUAGACCAAGCUCAACUUGCAACUUUAGUGCAAGGAACAUUCGGAUACUUAGACCCUGAAUACUUCCUCACGAAUCAACUAACAGAAAAGAGUGAUGUCUAUAGCUUUGGAGUUGUCCUGAUGGAGCUACUAACAAGCAAAGUGGCACUCGCUUUUGACGGGCCUGAGGAAGAGAGAAACCUAGCAAGCUUUUUUGUUUGUUAAAAGGAGGAGGAUCGCUUGAAUCAAAUUCUCGAUGAUGAUAUGGUCAAUGAGAGAAACAUCGAGACACUAAAAACAGUGGCCAAUCUCGCGAGAAGAUGUGUAAGGUUAAAAGGGGAGGACAGGCCUAAGAUGAAAGAAGUUGCCAUGGAGCUGGAAGGAAUGAGAAUUACAGAAAUGCAUGCAUGGGGAAAAGCUGAAUUUAUUCCAGAGGAGACUGAGUACUUACUUGGGGCAGCUAACUCAGAUGUGUAUCAUGUGGAUGUUAGGGCUGAUUGUGGUCCUAGUACUGGUACAGCUAGUGAGUAUGACAGCAUGCAGAUCCAAAUGUUAAUUUCAUAUGAUGAUGGACGAUUGCUUGAAAUAAUCAACUCAACAUUGUUUAUCAUUCUAGCCAUAGUGAAGAACCUACAAACAUCAAGUAGAUGUCAUUGUUAGUUGGUGUAGUCACAUUGGCUAGAGCGGAUGUGCUCUCUCUAUGCACUCAAGUUUGAAUUUUCCUAGAUACAAUUUAAAUUUAGUAAAAAGUAAAUAUGGCCUGUAUAAAAGAUAACAUUCUUCUUCAUUCAUUUUGAAAGUUUUUAGUUAGGGUGUGUAAUGUGUAUCAGAGCACUAGGUGGUGAAGAUCCUUAAAAAAAUUAAAAAAAAUUAAAAAAAACCUUACAAAAAGGGAUCUCAAACAAGCCUUGCAUGUAAGAAGUGGCCCAACAUCAAAAACUAAUUUCUUCUUCAAAAGGAUUUGCAUGGAAUUUAGGGUGUGUAUCAGAGCAUUUGGUGGGGGAUGUAUACCAAUUGUUUGACUGGUUAAAUGUUGUGUAUUGGCAUUUAAUGUUUGGACGUUAGACUUUGAUACUUUCUGAAGCUAAAUAAAAAAUGAGUUUGGAAGAUCCUGAGUUGGUAAGGAAUGUAAAAUACAGUAGAACAUUGAUAAUUAAUAUUUGUUAAAUUAAUAAUUUUGGUCGAUCCCAAUUGGAAAUAAAUGUUAGAUUAAGAAGUUGAUGGGGUUUGAACCCACCUUGUGGUGCAACAGCAACAGCAACGCUUCUCUCUAUUACUGUGGUACAAGGUCACUUGCAAUUCUCUCUCAUCUUUCACCCUUUCCAACUUCUCUCUCUAUGGCCUCGUUUGGCAGCUCGGACUGUACUGACUAUUUCUAUCGGAUAGGAUAAAUAGUCACCGGAUAGUACUGACUAAAUUAGUCGGGCAUUUGGUGCAGUAUCGGACUAAUGACCGUAUUAUUUAUAUUGUGUUUGGUACUAUACCGGAUAGAAGGAAUUUAAAGUAUUAUUAUUUUAAGAUAAACUGUAGAGAUUAGUUUUAACCAUAAAGUAUUAUCAUGUCUCCCUGGGUGGUCCAUUCUUAGCGGCCAUAGCAGAUGCUUUCUCUGCUUCUAUGUCAACAACAAUGGCAUCAAUUUCAGCUUCUUCAAGUUGCUUCAGACCAUGAUCCUUUGUCAUCACAGCAACUUCUAUGUGUUUUCCUCCACUCUCGACAACCUCAAGCAAAGCCCAGAUUGCAAGCUUUACAGUUUCUUUCCCAGAUCUCUUUGCCGCACCCCCCAAACUCCCUCCCUCUCUCUCCUUUCUUCUUCUUCCCCGACUGUUUGCAAGAUCCAGUUGUAGAAGAAGCCCAGAGCCUUCGACGCGCAACGGCCAAACCUCGGGGAUCUUGUAGCAGAGGAAGACAUGGAGGCCGUAGGCGUUGACAGUGCCAGCAAGAAUGACGACGGGGAGAACGACGUUAGAAAGAGGGACGACGGCGAGAGGAGAUGUCGUGGAAACGAAGUGCGAGAGAGAGGGAAGUGAGCCAGACUAAUAAUCCAUUCAUUUUGGAAGGGUUUAUUAAGCAGGUGUAUACCCGACUAAAUAGGCAGACUGACUAAAUUAAUCUGGCGGCUAUUUUAUACGGGAGGGCACCAAACAACCGGCUCCGUAUAAUUAGUCAUAUCCGAUUCUUUAUACGGUGUGCCAAACAACCGGGAGGGCACCAAACAACCGGCUCCGUAUAAUUAAUAUAUAUAUAUAUAUUUAUUUAUUUUUUUUAAUUAUUUUCAUGAAAUUUUAUUCAUGAAAAACACUUAAUUGUUUGUUCAUUUUUUUUUAAAGUACAGUUUUGUAAAUUAUUUUGCAGAAAUAGUGUCUUUUUCUAGAAUAGUGUCACCGUUUUAAAAAAAGGUGUCACUGUUUAUGAAAAUAGUGAUCACUAUUUUUUAAAAUUAAUUCAUUUUUAAGAAACAGUAUUUCCUACUAAUAAAUUUUUAUUAAACAUUAAAAAUUUAUUAAUAAUAAUUUUGUUCAAUUUUUUUACGCGAUUAAUAAUUCAUAUUAUUAUGUCUUAAAAUAUGACUAAUUGUUAAUUUUUAUGCAUUACCAAAAAAAGGAGGGGAGGAAGGAGUGAUGUGAGAAAGAGAAAGAGAAGAGAGAGAAAAGAAAGAAAGAAAUGUUGAGAGAAGAGAGAGAUAUGAUGGUGAAGUCGGUGAAAUAAUAGCAGUGUUCUAAAACGCGGCCUAGGCGGCGCCUAGGCACUGGGCGGUGGUUCGCCGCUGCGAUUAAACCAAAAUCAUCGAAGAAAUCGGGAAGGGUAUUAGGCGACGCUGGAGGGGGCUAGGCGGCCUCGGCGACCGCUAGGCGGCUUUGAUGGUAAGUCGAUUAUAACGUCGUUCUUCCGCUGUGGUAAUGAGGUUGGACGAUUGGGCGACCAUCCCAACGGGUUUCGAUCUGUAAUUGCAGAGAAAGAAAGAAGAGGGACAGGACGGGUUUCGAUCUACAAUUGCAGAGAAAGAAAGAAGAGGGACAAGACGGGUUUCUAUAGGGACAGCUUGGCUGGGGAGGGAGGGAGGGAGGGAUAUGCAAUUGCAGAGAAAUGGGGCGGCUGCUUAGGUAAUUAGAGUUAGGGUUUGGUAAAGAAGAAAGAAGAGGGACGGCUUGGCUUGGUGAAGAGAGAGAGAGAGAGAGAGAGAGGUAGAUGUAUCUGUAGAGAAAUGGGGCGGUUGUGCUUUAGAAAAUUAGAGCUAGGGUUUUUUUGGCUAGGAAUUGCAUUCCUUUAAAACAUGGCCGAAUUUGUUUUUAAUGAAAAACAAAGGCCCAGUUCAUUUUCAAUGAAAAACAAAGGCCCAACAAAUGAUUAAAAUAAAUGGGAUGACUAAAUGUUACAAAAUUAAUAUAAAAAGUUCUAAAAUUUUACACAUGUACUUAAAUCCGUCUUGACCGCCUAGGCGCUAGGCGCUAGCUGGCCGCCCGACUAGCGCCUAGCGUUUUUUAGAAUCUUGAAUAAUAGGCAAGUGCAAGCUGCGCAAUAACAGUUUGAUACCAAAAAAAAUAUUCUUCAAAUGUCUUUUUAAGUGUUUUUACACUAUGAAAUGAAGUUCCGAGAUGUUUGUAAAGAGUUUUUUAUCCAAAAAUUUUACAAAGCUCAGAUAUAGCAAUGGAGAGUUGGAUGUACCCAAGAAUUUAACUGUCAAUAAUCCAAUGGCGAAGAUUCCAAGUAGAAAUAAAAACUCCUUUUCCCCGUCUGUUUGGUUUCUUCAUUUUUAACUCUCUUAUAUAAAUGAAACCUACUGAUUAUUGGUCUAUUAUUUGUCUCGACUUUGUCACAUAAUUAUUUGUCAUCAUUCUUUUGGUUUAUAAUCAGAGGACUAUAUGGUCCUCAUCUGUCAUCACCUUGCUUGGAAUGUAAACCUGCAG